CCCUUCACCUUAAACAGCUGUGCCUUGCUCGAUCUUCGCCGAGCGUAGUUUCGUUAAAUUCGGCGCCCUGCCUUCUCCUCCGUUUUAUGCAUGGCUACUGCCGAUGGAGAAGCUCCUAGGCCGGAGGAGCGCCAGAUAGAGCCGCUGCAUCUACCGACGCCCGAGGAGAUCCGAGGACAGGACAUAUGGAACAACUGCGCCGUCCGGAGCGUCGCCAGUGGCGUCAUGGGUGGUGGACUUGGUUUUUUCAUGGGCAUGUUUCUUGGGGCUCUGGAUAACCCUAUAAUGCAGGAGGAGAUGACUACCAAGCAGCAAUUAAUAUUUCAAGCAAAACAAAUGGGUCGCAGAAGUAUUAGCUCUGCAAAGGCAUUUGGUAUCAUGGGCCUCAUCUUUUCAGCUGCUGAAUGUGUUGUUGAGAAGACUCGAGCGAAACAUGACACCACAAACACAGUUGUUGCUGGUUGCGUUACAGGAGGGGCUAUUUCUGCAAAAGGUGGUCCAAAGGCUGCGUGUGUUGGGUGUGCUGGCUUUGCAGCAUUCUCAGUCGCAAUUGAGAAGUUCCUUGAUAGGCAUUCGUAAGCAUGUGAUAGAAAUCGAUAGGUGAAUUCAAAUUGUUUUUGGUUGAAGUAUCUUCCAUAGCCUCUUCAUGAACCAGCACAGUCCAGAUUUUUUUGGUAUAUGUUUCUAUCUUCCAAUCUAUCAAGCCAGGCAACAGAGAUGGCGCCAAGUAGAGCUAUUUAUCCAAAAUUCUCCUUUCAUAUUUGAUUUAGUGGUCAGACCUGCAGGAAGCUCGGCAGUGGAGUUCUCCACACCGAACAUUGAGUUUGAUGUGGCUUCCAGCUUUUGUUGCCUAUUCAAAGAAUCUUCAACAGUGGCAACAUCACCCUCGAGGUAGCAUUCAGAACUUUUCUCAAUAGAAGUUUCUUCAACAGUGGCAGUAUCAUCCUUGAUAUAGCAAUCAGAACUUUUCUCAAUAGAUGGCCUCAGUUGUCGUAGAUAACAUAUCUCCUCGUCUUUUGUUGCAAUCUCAUCUUUCAAUUCCCCUAUCAGAGCCAUUGUCUCUUGAAUAUAGUCUUCAUUGCUUUUCUCUACUUCAGAGAGCCUUCUUUUUGUCUCAUUGCAGUUUUGCAAGAUAGAUGUGAAUUCAGCCAGUAAUAUAUGUUCUUUACCUUCUACACCAUUCUUAAUUAAUUGCUUCAAUUUAUGAGUAUCCUCUCCGUCGUCAAGUAUGAUUCCGGUAUCAUCAAUUCUUUCUGAAGAAAUUUCACUUUGGGAAUUUGCUUGCGUCUCAGAAGGACAAGGUAUUUCAGCCACUGCAUUAUCCUCACCCUUUUUCGUCUGCUCAGUGUCAACAAAAGCGUCAUCUUCCUCUGAGGAUGAAUCCCCGCUAUGAAACUGAAGCACCUUCAAAAUACCAUUAAGGCU